rnacentral:lncRNA from 1 species
AGCACAGGCAGUGAGUGCUGCAGACCGCCAGUGAGGAGCUGCUGCUGUGGGCUCUGGAGGUCUGAGGGAAGGGGAGGGUCUGAGUCAGGAAGUGUUUUGUUGUAGGUCAGUAAUAGCUGCCCUGAGGAGGAACGCUCUUUUUAAUGACAGUCAGCUCUGGAUUACCCAGUCUUCUAGAUUGCCCUACCAUCCAUCCUUCUAAAACAUAGGCCAGCCUUGACCUGCCCUUCUCAGGAUGAGUGAGUCAGGCUGCAGAGGGUGAAGGGCAUAGAGGGGGUGGGGUGGGGUGGGGGAGCCCUCAGCAAAUCCAUCUGCUGGUGAUGAAGAGUCCUGACUGUGAAUUAAUUUCAUGCCAUAAAAGACCGAUCCAGUUCUGCUCAACUAUGUAGCAUCUUAAAGGAAGAGAUUAAAAUAAAGCCCCAAAUUAAGAGUCCUUUUGUCAUUUUGUCACAUUUGCUGUGUGGGGUUCUUAUUAUCAAUCAUCGUUAGUGUGCUAUGGAAGGUUGAUUUUAAAAUGAGCUCUAUCAGUGGGAAACACAUGUGUAAUGAUUUGACUCUGCACACAUCUGUGUACACACGCACACACAUAUAUUACUAUUACUUUUAUUAUUAUAUUUUGGUUGGCUUCAGCUUAACAGCAGGAGCCAUCUCAGGCUGGCUGUCCUUCCCCUUCUGUGACCUUGGCCCUUCAGUGACAGGCCUGAGUCUGAGAGGACAAGCCCAUCUAAAGGAAGACUGGCCUAGACACCCGAGAUCACACUGCUGCUGUGCCUGAGUGGGCGGGUGGGAGCUGGAGACGGGGGGGGGGGGGGGGGGCACUGGGCGGUAAGCAGCCCUGCCCGCUCUAAUGCCUCUUACCGAGUUUCCAGACCCUUUCCGUGUGCCUGAAGGAGGGAGGGUACGACUGAGCUGAGGGUGAGGUCUGAGCUGCCACCUGGCUUCCCUUGCUACACUGAGAGGUUCAGCAGUCUCAGGUGCUGCCAGUAAUCCUUUUGCAGCUUUUGAGGGCAGAGUAACUCAGUGCCUCUGACAGGACCUGGGGUGUCAUCUAGCUCUACGACACAGGAGCCGGGGUUUGCAAGUGUUCUUAAGGGAUGGAUGGCUCUGUGUGCCAGAAAAGCUCUUGAGAGGCACAGCCAGCUGCCGAGAUUAAAGCGUGUCUGGGAGCUGCCGUGGCUUGGGCCAUGGAAGGUGAUUGUGUGAACGCUGUCAGAAUGCUCUAAGAGGGCCAGAGGUUGUAGACACUUCUGCAGUAGCAGCAACAACAAAAACUCCAGAUACAAGGGUAUCCUUCCUUUGUCUGGCCCUCGGAAGUCUGACCUCGGAGAGAUGCCUGGCAGUGUGGUAGUUGUUGGGGCUUCUUGACCAAGGGGAUGAUGGGAGCUCUAGGGAGGUUAGCAAGGCAGAGUGGGUAAAUCUCCGAGUCACCGUCACUCAUGAGUGCUGUAAGAGAGGUGUCAGUAAGAAGCGUACUUGCCUGUGGGCUCUAAAGAGAGCUGUGCACAUUUGGGGUGUCUUUUCUGAAAAUCUCAGAGCAGAUAAACCUGAGUAAGACACAGAAGAGGUGAGUUUCACUCUGUACUACAACUCUGCUGUCUCCAAAGAAGACAGAGUCAGGUGUUCUGGGAGGUGUGAAGCUGAGAGCUAGGAGAGCAGCCAUGAGGCAGCCAGGGCAGGUCCUCCAUGGUUACAGGGCCCGCUGCCCCUCCUUAUUAAGUGCCUCGGCUUUGGAAGCGCAGCCACCGUGCUCACAGAUGGACACAGUAGCAGAGUCCCACCAACUGCUAUUGAUUGAAUUUCCAAGUUGAUAAUUUAAGCUUGGAAAGAGACAGAGCACCUCUUAGACACAGUGAGCACUAUUAUCUGUCCGUGUGAGGCCCUGGCUUUAAUUUUCUUCUCCUCCUACUUUGCAUGUUUUCCCUCUCUGGUCUUUUAAACUGCUGGCACCAGCAGUAAUAAAUACUGAUAAAAUCAAAAUUGAUUUUUACCAGUGGACAGUUUAUGCCUAGAGAGACGGCUUAUACCUACAUAACACAGAAGGGGGAAUGAGGAGCCUCCAGUGAGCCGUGAAAAGCUGACUGCUUUCAAACAAAUCCUAGGAACAGCAUUGCUGUGUGAAGAUAGCAGUACCCAGCCUGCAGGCUGUGUUGACUCAGACAGAACUGAAUGCAGCCAGAGCUAAAUAGCCCCUCAGAUUAAUUUGAAAACAAGCCCCGAGUGUGCAUGUGUGUGUUUGUGUGUAGCAUAUGUGCCAUGUGUAAGCAGCCUGACAGUUCCCAAAUGGUGCCUGUAGUUUUUUUUUUUGCACACAGAUCUUGGUGUUUUCAAACUCAGAGUCCACGCCAAAAUGCAGUAUCGUUUUGUCAUUUUCAGGCUUCUCAAAAUUAACUGGCUUGAAUGCAAAUUUCUAGUUACAGUUUGCAAAAACCUUUAUUUUAAGGGAGAGACUGGGACACGGGACAGUUGGUCCUGUGAUCUAGGUCAUUCUGUAUUCCUGAGUGACGUUCUCCUUCCCAGGCCUUCUCCAGUAUAGAGGCCCAUGCUCCCCUCGCUGCUGUGGUAGCUGUGUCGUCUCCUGUGGACCCUGUGCUGUGACAGAGGGGAAGAGUAAACUUUGUAAGUAACCGGAAGGCAGGCACUAGACUCGUCCUAGUUACAUUUGGCCUUGUCUGCUGUUACUGAGAAUGAAUGCUUCUCAGAGCCCAGCAGAAAUGCAAUUGUGUUUAACACUCCCCUGCAGAGCAUAGAUGGACAGAUGCAGCAUAGGUGAGGCUGGGCGAUCAUUCUCUGGGAUCAUGGCCCGAUGGCUCCCUCAGGGUUCCCUGGCCUGAUUGGACUUGGAGGAGGUCUUUCCUCUCCCCAGACAGAGCUACAACUGUGGGAACCUUUGUCAACACUACCCUGGCUGCAGAGCACCUCACAAAACCGCAAGUUAGGCUCUGCCCUGUAAAAAAGACCCAGUGCGUGGAGGUGGGCAGCAUUUUAGUUUGGAACUAAAUGAGCCCCAGUUUGUGUGUGCAUGCUAAAGCACUGCUUGUUGGAGAUCUGCACAUCAAUGAAGGGAACAAGGCGGAGGGAGGUAUCUGCUCCAGGCACCUCAGCUCACCAGCCGCCGCGUCUGCCACCCUGAUGCAGCUGCUGUUUCCAGGCUGAGCAGGAGGAAGAGCCAGGGCUCUAGUGUGACCUGAACACAUCCCACAAGAUAAAUGCAUAUGGUUGUUUCCAUUUCGCUCACUGCCCAUGUGCCUGGGGAAUUGUGGAAGCUUUAGAAAGAAAAUUACCACUGUGUCUCAGUGAGGUGAGGCUGCUGUGUCUGGAGGCUCCUCAUAACUUGUAAAUUAAAUGUGAAUGAGAGAAGUUCAUUAAAAUUGGCAUUAUAGAAGUGGCCUAUUGAGAUUUGAAAGCAGCUGAGCUCAUGGUGUCUGGGCUCCCUCUAAACCUGUGGAGAAAUGCAUGAACAAGUGACAGGCGACAGUCACAGGAGCAUAGGGCGCAGGCAGCUUGGGCGCUGUGAGUGGAUCGCUGCCUGGCUCCCUGCCCUCUGACUGUUACUGCAUGUUCAACACAUGAGGCUCUGCCACUAAGAAUAUUUGCUGUUUGGAGUGCACAAGGGAGGGGACUAGUGCCAUUUCCACAGCAGUGCGGACAUUGUUUUCAUUUAUUCCCAGCACAUAGGUAUGUGUAAACAUUUUAAAGGCACAGCACACACAAACAUCUGUGUAUUAUGGUUCAGAGAGAUACCGGGAAGGUGGAAGAGAGGUGGAUACAGCGAAUAUAAUAAUUACUUUAAUUUUUCUCCUUAAUGGAAUUAAUGAAUUAGAAGAUGUGUGCUUCUGCUCU